AACAAGGCGUACCUGCGGACCUGCGGAGGGAUCAUUAACGAAUAACUAUGGUGUUGGUUGUAGCUGGCUCCUCGGAGCAAUGUGCACGCCCGCCAUUUUUAUCUUUCCACCUGUGCACCGACUGUAGGUCUGGAUACCUCUCGCCUCCGGGCGGAUGCGAGGGUUGCUCGUAAGGGCUUCCCUUGAACUUCCAGGCUCUACGUCUUUUUACACACCCCAAUAGUAUGAUGCAGAAUGUAG
rnacentral:misc_RNA from 1 species